GGGGAUGAUCGGUUUCGACGGUGGCCCUCGAUCGAGGAGAAGCGGGUCGAGAAUGCAUGCUCACUCGUAAAAGUGUAUGCAAAACAAAUAAGUGCCAAACAAAAUCGCACUGACUUCGUCCUCGCUGCCUGAUUGCAGCUUGGACCUUUGAGUCCGUCAGCCCGGAAGGUUGCUCUUCCUCCGGUUCCUGGCGUCGUCUAAAGAGCCACUGGGUGUUGCGCGUGUCAGCUGCGUGACUCCGACAUUUAGCUGACUGAGCCCAUUCAACAGCAGGUCUGCAGGUAGUUGAGGGCUGAGAAAUAGUAAGCAGACUGCACCCGGAGAAGUCCUCGGGGUUGGUUGCCGGACGGGGGUUCGAUUCCCCCCAUCUCCACGU
rnacentral:tmRNA from 1 species